rnacentral:rRNA from 1 species
GAUGAACGCUGGCGGCGUGCCUAAUACAUGCAAGUCGAGCGAACAGACGAGGAGCUUUCUCCUUCGACGUUAGCGGCUGACGGGUGAGUAACACGUAGGUAACCUACCUCUAAGACUGGGAUAACUUCGUGAAACCGGAUCUAAUACCGGAUAAUAUUUCGAACCGCAUGGUUCGAUAGUGAAAGAUGGCUUUGCUAUCACUUAUAGAUGGACCUGCGCCGUAUUAGCUAGUUGGUAAGGUAACGGCUUACCAAGGCAACGAUACGUAGCCGACCUGAGAGGAUGAUCGGCCACACUGGAACUGAGACACGGUCCAGACUCCUACGGGAGGCAGCAGUAGGGAAUCUUGCGCAAUGGGCGAAAGCCUGACGGAGCAACGCCGCGUGAGUGAUGAAGGUCUUCGGAUCGUAAAACUCUGUUAUUAGGGAAGAACAACCGUGUAAGUAACUGUGCACGUCUUGACGGUACCUAAUCAGAAAGCCACGGCUAACUACGUG